GACGAACGCUGGCGGCGUGCUUAACACAUGCAAGUCGAACGGAAAGGCCCGGCUUUUGUGGGGUGCUCGAUUGGCGAACGGGGGAGUAACACGUGAGUAACCAGCACUUGACUUUGGGAUAACUUCAGGAAACUGGGGCGAAUACCGGAGAGGAUCUCCUGCUGCAUGGUGGGGGUUGGAAAGUGUCGGCGGUACGGGAUGGACUCGAGGCUUAUCAGCUGGUUGGGGGGGUAGUUACUUACAAAGGCUUUGACGGAUAGCCGGCAUGAGAGGGUGAACGGCCACAUUGGGACUACGAUACGGACCAGACUCCUACGGGAGGCAGCAGUCGGGAAUAUUGCACAAUGGGCGGAAGCCUGAUGCAGAGACGCCGCGUGCGGGAUGACGGCCUUCGAGUUGUAAACCGCUUUCGCCUGUGACGAAGCGUGCGUGACGGUAAUGGGUCAAGAAGCCCCGGCUAACUACGUG
rnacentral:rRNA from 1 species